rfam:Lepisosteus oculatus linkage group LG12, whole genome shotgun sequence.
CUGUGGUGCAUUGUAGUUGCAUUGCAUGAUCCUGCAGCACAGUGCAAUGUGUCUCCAGUGCAGUACAG